UAAGUUGGAACUUAGUCAAUUGAAUAAACUACUAAAAAACAUGUUAACGACUACUAUUGAUUCACCGCAACAUAAAAGAGUCCUUCUAAGGGGGAAUAUCAGGAAGAACGAGCCUGUUUUGGAUGAUAUUCGUGAAAAGUAUAAAUCAAAGGAAGACAUUAGGAGGAUAAAAAAGGCAAGGGAGAUACAUCUGGAAAUAAUAAAGUGUGCAAGGAAUAUAAACGAUUGUUAUGGCUUACAUAUUUUAUUCUCUAUAUCAACAGCUUUAAUAUUAAUCACUAUUAUGUCUUACAAUAUGUUCUAUCUCUUAUUAUCUAUGGACAAUAUACUACAAAUUGAACAAAAUUAUUCUUUUCUUUGUUGGAUUUUGUUCUUUGCCAUGAAGAUCAUUUUAGUAAGUCAUAUAUGUGCACGAACAGUCACUGAGGUAUUUUUCUUAUGAGUAUUCUUUAUAUUUUUUGUUAUAAUAAGAAAUUUUUUUUCAUAAAAUUUUAAUCAAAGUCUGCACGAAAUAUUUAUUAACGUUAUAUCAUAUUUUUUUACAUGCGGCGAAAACCGGAGAUAUUCUUUGCGAAUUGUACGAACCAUCAAGCAGUAACGAAAUACGUAUGAAGAUUCGUGAUUUUACUUUGCAAUUUAUUCAAAACCCAUUGAUCCUUACAAGCUGUGGCAUUUUUGAUCUCGAUUAUACAUUGAUACGUAACGUGAUCGGAAUCGUUGCAACUUAUAUCGUUAUUCUCAUUCAAAUUGGAAAUGUAUCACAACAAGAUUUAAAUAAAAAUUCAACUUUAUCGCCUAAUAAUGAUUGAGAAAUUUACGAUUAUUCUUAGAUACAGAUGCGUUUAGAACUAUAUUAAGAGUUAAAAUAUAUUAGUAAUCUCUAUAGCAUUAAAUAUUUAGAGUUAUCCGUUUAUGCUACUUUUAUAAAUUGUGUCUUUUUUAUCUAGCACAACUACUUAAAUGUUUGAAUGUAAUAUGGAAAUUGGUGUUCAAUUCUACUUCACUACCAUUAUCACAGCGAUUUUUUUUUAUUGCCUUUCCAAUGAGAUAACUAAAGUAAUAAGUUUUUCGAUGUGUACAAUUAUGGUCGAGCAUAAGAUAAAUCAUUUUUUAGUCGGUAAAGACAAUGAAAUUAUUUAAAAAUUUUUCGCUAAAAUUAUAUUAUAUGUAAUAAUAUUGGACCUUCUGCACAGUUUUUUCUCCAAUAUUGAUAAUUUUUUUUAAUUGAUAAGUUAAUAUAAUUUCAUAAUAUAUAUUCCACGUUCGAUUUAUAUAAUCUUAAUUGCGAAUAUUGUAUAUUUGUU